CGGCAGCACGGGUACUUGUACCUGGUGGCGAGCGGCGGACGGGUGAGUAAUGCCUAGGAAUCUGCCUGGUAGUGGGGGAUAACGCUCGGAAACGGACGCUAAUACCGCAUACGUCCUACGGGAGAAAGCAGGGGACCUUCGGGCCUUGCGCUAUCAGAUGAGCCUAGGUCGGAUUAGCUAGUUGGUGAGGUAAUGGCUCACCAAGGCGACGAUCCGUAACUGGUCUGAGAGGAUGAUCAGUCACACUGGAACUGAGACACGGUCCAGACUCCUACGGGAGGCAGCAGUGGGGAAUAUUGGACAAUGGGCGAAAGCCUGAUCCAGCCAUGCCGCGUGUGUGAAGAAGGUCUUCGGAUUGUAAAGCACUUUAAGUUGGGAGGAAGGGCAGUUACCUAAUACGUAAUUGUUUUGACGUUACCGACAGAAUAAGCACC
rnacentral:rRNA from 2 species